AAUUAUUAUAUAUUUAAUUUAUUUUAUUGUUAUUGGGUCUAUUAAUAGAAAUAACUUUUUUUUUAGUAUUUUUUAAAGAACAAAUAUGAUUAUAUUUAUAGUUAAUUUUACUGUGAAGGUUAAUUUUAUUGUAUAUAUAUUAAGUAGAAUUUAUUUUUUGUACCUUUUGUAUCAGGGUUUAUUUAUAAUUUUUAAUUUAUUUAUUAAAUUCCCGAAAUUAAAAGAGAUACCAUCUAUUGUUAUUUCAUGUUUCAUAAUUAUGGUAAAAUUUUUGGUAGAGGUUAUAUGCUAUUCAAUUUUAAAUAUCUGGUUUCUUAAUAUUUGAAUUUAAUUCAUAAUUUAAGUUUUUAAUGGAUAAUUUUAUUUUUAUUAAAAUUUUAAAUUAAAGAUUAUAAGGGAUAAGCUUUAUAAUUUUAUUAUACAAUUAUUUUUAUUUAAUGUUAUGUAGGAUUAAAAAUUUUCAUCAUUUAUUUUUUAAUAAUUAUGCAUUUAUUUAAAUUUAUUUUAUAUUAUUGUUAAAUUAUUAUUAAGAUUUAUUAAUUAAUUUUAGAUUAUUAGUUAUAAUGAUAGAAUUAGUAUAUUUAGUUAAUUAAUGUAUAGUAACUCGGCAAAUUUGUUCUUCACCUGUUUAACAAAAACAUGUCUUAAUGAUUAUAUUAAUAUUAAGUCUGACCUGCUCAAUGAUUGUAUAUUAAAUAGCCGCAGUAUUUUGACUGUGCGAAGGUAGCAUAAUCAUUUGUCUUUUAAUUGAGGACUGGUAUGAAUGGUUUGAUGAAGGAAUAACUUUCUUUAUAUUAAUUAUUGAAUUUAAUUUUUAAGUUAAAAAGCUUAAAUUUUUAAAUGGGACGAGAAGACCCUAUAGAAUUUUAUUUUUAUUUAAAUUUAUAUUUAAAUUGGUUAUUAUUUGUUUAAUUUUAUUAAAAAUUUUGUUGGGGCGACAUUGAGAUUAUUUUAACUCUCAUAUAUUUUGUUUACUUAUAUGUAUAUAUAGGAUCCUAUAUUAAGGAUAUUUAGAUUAAAUUACCUUAGGGAUAACAGCGUAAUUUCUUUGGAGAGUUCUUAUUGAUAAAGGAGUUUGCGACCUCGAUGUUGGAUUAAAAUUGGAUUUAAGUGCAGAAGCUUAAAAUUCCAGGUCUGUUCGACCUUUAAAGUUUUACAUGAUCUGAGUUCAGACCGGCGUAAGCCAGGUCGGUUUCUAUCUUUUUAAUUAUUUUUAUAGUUUAGUACGAAAGGACCAAUUAUAACAAAUAUUUUGUUUAUUAUGAAUAUUUUUAAU
rnacentral:rRNA from 1 species